GGGCCCGCACAAGCGGUGGAGCAUGUGGUUUAAUUCGAUGCAACGCGAAGAACCUUACCAGGGUUUGACAUCCUGCGAAUCUCUUGGAAACGAGAGAGUGCCUUCGGGAACGCAGUGACAGGUGGUGCAUGGCUGUCGUCAGCUCGUGUCGUGAGAUGUUGGGUUAAGUCCCGCAACGAGCGCAACCCACGUCUUUAGUUGCCAUCAAGUAAAGUUGGGAACUCUAGCGAAACUGCCGGUGUAAACCGUGAGGAAGGUGGGGAUGACGUCAAAUCAUCACGGCCCUUACGUUCUGGGCUACACACGUGCUACAAUGGCCGGUACAGAAAGCAGCCACUAUGCGAAUAGGAGCUAAUCUUUAAAACCGGUCUCAGUUCGGAUCGCAGUCUGCAACUCGACUGCGUGAAGCUGGAAUCGCUAGUAAUCGGAUAU
rnacentral:rRNA from 1 species